rnacentral:rRNA from 1 species
CCUACGGGAGGCAGCAGUGGGGGAUAUUGCACAAUGGGGGGAACCCUGAUGCAGCGACGCCGCGUGGGUGAAGGAGCGUUUCGGCGCGUAAAGCCCUAUCGGCAGGGAAGAAGAUGACGGUACCUGACCAAGAAGCCCCGACUAACUACGUGCCAGCAGCCGCGGUAAUACGUAGGGGGCAAGCGUUAUCCGGAUUUACUGGGUGUAAAGGGAGCGUAGACGGUUAAUCAAGUCAGAAGUGAAAACCCAGGGCUCAACCUUGGGACUGCUUUUGAAACUGAGUAGCUAGAGUGCAGGAGAGGUAAGCGGAAUUCCUAGUGUAGCGGUGAAAUGCGUAGAUAUUAGGAGGAACACCAGUGGCGAAGGCGGCUUACUGGACUGUAACUGACGUUGAGGCUCGAAAGCGUGGGGAGCAAACAGGAUUAGAUACCCGGGUAGUC